ACUCGAUUAGGGUAUCGUGUGGGUUAAAUGUCGUUUGCCCUUUUUCGGUGGAUUUGAUCGGCACCGUGACGGAAAUUAGCCCUUUCUUUUUCUUGGUAGCGAAAACAAAGUUUAAUUAUCACACCGAUAGAUUUUAAAGUAUGGGUACCACUUUGACUGUAUCAUAAAAAUUGAGGUACCGGUACUAUCAAAACUUCUUUAAAAAAUAAAGAGGUGCAAAACAUUCCAUAUUCAAGAUUUAUGGGUGGAAUGAAAACCCAUAUUCAUUCUCUUCCAAUUUAAGCCCCCAAAGAUCAUUGCUUUUUGAUUUUGACUUGUGCAAAU
rnacentral:lncRNA from 1 species